rnacentral:piRNA from 1 species
UAGGGACAUUCUAAUAAUUGUGUGACAC